UGAGGAAUAUUGGUCAAUGGGUGCAAGCCUGAACCAGCCAUCCCGCGUGAAGGACGACUGCCCUAUGGGUUGUAAACUUCUUUUGUAUAGGGAUAAACCUACCCUCGUGAGGGUAGCUGAAGGUACUAUACGA
rnacentral:rRNA from 1 species